rnacentral:rRNA from 1 species
UAUUCUUAGUGGCGGACGGGUGAGUAACACGUGAGCAACCUACCUUAGAGAGAGGGAUAGCUUCUGGAAACGGAUGGUAAUACCUCAUAACAUAACUGAACCGCAUGAUUUAGUUAUCAAAGAUUUAUCACUCUGAGAUGGGCUCGCGUCUGAUUAGAUAGUUGGUGAGGUAACGGCUCACCAAGUCGACGAUCAGUAGCCGGACUGAGAGGUUGAACGGCCACAUUGGGACUGAGACACGGCCCAGACUCCUACGGGAGGCAGCAGUGGGGAAUAUUGCACAAUGGGGGAAACCCUGAUGCAGCGAUGCCGCGUGGAGGAAGAAGGUUUUCGGAUUGUAAACUCCUGUCUUAAAGGACGAUAAUGACGGUACUUUAGGAGGAAGCUCCGGCUAACUACGUGCCAGCCGCGGC